CAGCAGCCACGGUAAUACGGAGGGUGCAAGCGUUAAUCGGAAUUACUGGGCGUAAAGCUCACGCAGGCGGUCUGUCAAGUCGGAUGUGAAAUCCCCGGGCUCAACCUGGGAACUGCAUUCGAAACUGGCAGGCUAGAGUCUUGUAGAGGGGGGUAGAAUUCCAGGUGUAGCGGUGAAAUGCGUAGAUAUGCGGAGGAACACCGAUGGCGAAGGCAGCCCCCUGGGCCAAUACUGACGCUCAUGCACGAAAGCGUGAGGAGCAAACAGGAUUAGAUACCCGAGUAGUCCCUGUCUCUUAUAA
rnacentral:rRNA from 1 species